rnacentral:rRNA from 1 species
CCUACGGGAGGCAGCAGUGAGGAAUAUUGGUCAAUGGGCGAGAGCCUGAACCAGCCAAGUCGCGUGAAGGAUGACGGCCCUACGGGUUGUAAACUUCUUUUGUCAGGGAGCAAUUGGGUCCACGCGUGGGCUUUGCGAGAGUACCUGAAGAAAAAGCAUCGGCAAACUCCGUGCCAGCAGCCGCGGUAAUACGGAGGAUGCGAGCGUUAUCCGGAUUUUUUGGGUUUAAAGGGUGCGUAGGCGGAAUAUCAAGUCAGCGGUAAAAAUUCGGGGCGAAACCCCGUCGUGCCGUUGAAACUGAUGUUCUUGAGUGGGCGAGAGGUAUGCGGAAUGCGUGGUGUAGCGGUGAAAUGCAUAGAUAUCACGAAGAACUCCGAUUGCGAAGGCAGCAUACCGGCGCCCAACUGACGCUGAGGCACGAAAGCGUGGGUAUCGAACAGGAUUAGAUACCCCAGUAGUC